rnacentral:rRNA from 1 species
GACGAACGCUGGCGGCGUGCUUAACACAUGCAAGUCGAACGGAAAGGCCCUGCUUUUGUGGGGUGCUCGAGUGGCGAACGGGUGAGUAACACGUGAGUAACCUGCCCUUGACUUUGGGAUAACUUCAGGAAACUGGGGCUAAUACCGGAUAGGAGCUCCUGCUGCAUGGUGGGGGUUGGAAAGUUUCGGCGGUUGGGGAUGGACUCGCGGCUUAUCAGCUUGUUGGUGGGGUAGUGGCUUACCAAGGCUUUGACGGGUAGCCGGCCUGAGAGGGUGACCGGCGACAUUGGGACUAAGAUACGGCCCAGACUCCUACGGGAGGCAGCAGUGGGGAAUAUUGCACAAUGGGCGGAAGCCUGAUGCAGCAACGCCGCGUGCGUGAUGACGGCCUUCGGGUUGUAAACCGCUUUCGCCUGUGACGAAGCGUGAGUGACGGUAAUGGGUAAAGAAGCACCGGCUAACUACGUG